rnacentral:lncRNA from 1 species
AUCAUAAUUUGAUCCAGAUUUUCUUAUAGAACAUGAAGAAGAGACUUUCUCAGUGUUUUUUCUUGUGUGUGUGUUUUUCCCAGUUUCUAAAUGAACAUCUGAAAUAUGGAAAAUGAGAUAAACUUCUAAUAGAUACAGAAGGGACCUCAAGAUGAAGAAGCUGCCAUGGAACUGCUGGGAAUUGAAGUGACCCUGACUUCCUUUAAAUUUUCUAUGUAUUCCACCAGCGUGGAAAGUUCAACAGAAACUAUCGGACCCCAUAAGGUACAUUUCACUUUCAGUAGUCGUAAAUAGUACCGCAAUGAAGAAUUAAAAUUUUUCAAGAGAAACUAAAUUAAAUCAUGCCAUAUGUACUGUAAAUUUUAAAAAACACAACUCUUGCAGGUAAUAGGAUAUUACUCUCCCACCACUAAUUCAUUCUCUACAUCAUUUGUGACAAUUAAGUACAUUUUACUUGCUGAUGAUUUUUGCCUCUGUCUGUGGAUUUUGGUUUCAGAUUUUCUUCACUUCUAAAUAUCUGUUGUUAUCAUUUGGCAUUAAGUGAAUCAUUUUUAUCCAUAUCUUCCCCCCAAAAGUUUCUUUUUUCAUAUUUAACUUCUAGCAUACAGUUGAAAGAAAAUUAAAAGGAGUGUUGCCAGCAAAUGAUUGGU